UACGAAGGGGGCGAGCGUUGUUCGGAAUUACUGGGCGUAAAGGGCGUGCAGGCGGUUUGUUAAGUGCAGGGUGAAAGCUCCCGGCUCAACUGGGAGAGGUCCUUGCAUACUGGCGAACUCGAGGGAGGCAGAGGAAAGUGGAAUUCCCGGUGUAGUGGUGAUAUGCGUAGAUAUCGGGAGGAACACCUGUGGCGAAGGCGGCUCUCUGGUACGUGACUGACGCUGAGACGCGAAAGCGUGGGGAGCAAACAGG
rnacentral:rRNA from 1 species